CCUACGGGGGGCUGCAGUGGGGGAUAUUGGACAAUGGGGGAAACCCUGAUCCAGCGACGCCGCGUGAGUGAAGAAGUAUUUCGGUAUGUAAAGCUCUAUCAGCAGGGAAGAAAGAAAUGACGGUACCUGAGUAAGUAGCUCCGGCUAACUACGGGCCAGCAGCCGCGUGUAUACGGAGGGGGCAAGCGUUAUCCGGAAGUACUGGGUGUAAAGGGGGCGGUGACGGUAAUGCAAGUCUGGAGUGAAAGGCGGGGGCCCAAACCCCGGACUGCUCUGGAAACUGUGUAACUGGAGUGGAGGAGGGGCAGGCGGAAUUCGUAGUGUAGCGGUGAAAUGCGUAGAUAUUAGGAGGAACACCAGUGGCGAAGGC
rnacentral:rRNA from 1 species